CUGAAACAGGCAUGCAGGGUGGACGAAUCCCCUGGGAUACGGGCCCGUCAUCUGCCCAUAAAAAGAGGCAGGUGCAUGCCGGAUUCAG
ncrna:Methanolinea tarda NOBI-1 L4-Archaeoglobi ribosomal protein leader